AGCUCCAAUAGCGUAUAUUAAAGUUGUUGCAGUUAAAAAGCUCGUAGUUGAAAUUCUGCUGAAGCCAACCACUUGAUGGAUGGCGGAAGCAAAAGUCACAAAGUCAGGCGCGGCCAUUAAUUUGUUCGUGUCUUGAGUUGUGUCGUUUACUGUGAACAAAUUAGGGUGCUCAAAGCAGACCUGUGUUUGAAUACAUUAGCAUGGAAUAAUAAGAUACGACUUCAGUUGAAUCUUGUUGGUGUCUUCAGAAGUAAUGAUUGAAAGAAACAAUUGUGGGUAUUCGUAUGAGCAUGUCAGAGGUGAAAUUCUUGGAUUUUGGUCAGACGAACUACUGCGAAAGCAUUUACCAAGGAUGUUUUCA
rnacentral:rRNA from 1 species